rnacentral:lncRNA from 1 species
GGGGAGGGGCGCUAGCCCGGUCAGUUGGUCCGGAAAGCUCAAGCUCAUACUCCGGAGGAACCCCGUACUGAAUCUUAAUCAGCGAGAGUUCGUCUGAAGUCAAAGAGCUAGGAAUGGUGUCUGGCACAAAGACCGGAUGAGGUCCGACCCUAAGUACGGUUCAUCUACAGUACUAGGAUUUCGAGGGGCUGGAGCUGACGAACUUCUAGAACUGUUAG